AGCCUUGUAGUAAAGAUUACGUUGGAUUGCAAAUCCAAAGAUGGAGGGUGAGUCCUCCCGGGGCUU
rnacentral:tRNA from 1 species